ensembl:lncRNA
CCCCCAGGGUGUGCUGGAAGCAAUUACCUUGGAAGAUGGUGGGGCUGGAGAUGAAGGGGCUAGAGCCAGAGCCAGGCAUGAGCCAGGGCUUCUUUUCUGAUUAAUGACCAUUAUCAUCCAAUUAAGGGCAAGCUGGGUCCCAAGUUUCCAGAGAAGUCCUGGAGAUCAGGUCCCAGCUGGUUGUCUCCCCUCUGGGUGUGUGGUCUUUCCCCUCUCAGCACUGGCACCUGUGCCCUAGAGGGGAGCAGUGCUGGAGCAAGGGGGGCUGGAGCGGGCACCCAGUGUAAACUGGGACCCGCACGGGGGUGGCUCUGGCACACCAGUUCCAAAGUGCUCCUAAUCUGCUGCCUCUACACGUGCCAGGAUUGACUGGACUCACCAGGUUCAGAUUCUGUGCCAGGCCUGAGCUAGCGUCAUCCUCCACAGCUGUGCACUGUGCUUCGGCCCAGCUGCCUUUACCCUAGUGUUGAGCAAUGCCAUGGAGCACAAGGGGGCCAGAAUGGGUGCUUGGCUGGGGCUGGGGCUGGGUAGUCACAGGAAACUUCCAAUCCGCUUCACUCUGCCCAGAGUGUGUGUGCUCUUCAUGAAUGAACUCUAGGUUUCUUACAGCCUCACUGUCAGUUCUACUGGUUUUCAAACCAGCUAAGGAGAUGCAUCCUCCCAGCGUUGGACCCCAGGGCUGAAUGCGCAAUAAAGUGGUUUGAACUGCUCGCUCCCCAGGGAGGAUCUCUGAACUUGCGUGAUCUUCCUACUCUUUUGUGUCCCCUCCUAAGGACCCAAGUUCCUAAUGUGAUUGCUUCUCUUACCUUCCUGUUCCACUCCAUGUGGAUCAUUCUCACAGUCUUGGUUGUAGAAGGGUCUUUCUGCCAGUCUCCCAUUGGUUUUCGGUGAGAUUUGCUCCACAUGUAGACGUAUUUUUGAAGUGUUUGUUGGGGGAAGGUGGCACCGUGGUAAAGAAUCUGCCUGCCAACAGAGGAGACAUGGAUUCGAUCCCUGGCUUGGGAAUAUCCCCAGGAGAAGAAAAUGGCAACUGACUCCAGUAUUCUUGCCUGGGAAAUCCCACAGACAGAGUUUGGUGGCUGCAGUCCAUGGGCUCACAAAAGAGUCAGACACGACUGAGCGACUGAAACAACCUAGACUAUUUGAGGCAUCUCAUUCUGUGUGAUCUUGAUAAUCAUAGAAUUUCCCCACAUUUGAGCAAAAUACAGGGGCUGUUUUCCAAAUAUAACAUCUAAUGAGCAAUCAGAAAUGACCCACCCUCUGUAGCAAAAGAGAGUAUAGAGGUUGUCUCAGUAUUUUUAGAGCACAAAAAGAUUUGCUAGCAUUUUCAGGAAAACAAACCAGCUAUAAAAGAUCCAUUCUCUUAUCCUUAGAUUUUGAUGAUGACUUUAUAAAUAACAAAUCAAAGGGAAAAAUUACGGAUAAGAAUAUAGUGUAGCUAUGAAAUUGACUAAUUAUCUUAGCCAGCCUGAGAAGAAAAUAGUGUAGCUAUUCCCCAGCUAUGAAAACAAUCCAAACUUGUAUAAAUAGAAAGAGGACAUUUUAAAUAGCGGAGGCUGCCUCCAAGCCUUAUAAAUAAGAGGGCAUCUUUGCUCUAGAGAUUAAAGGGACAUCCCACCCCCAGGG